rnacentral:rRNA from 1 species
UUGACCUCAAAUCAGGUAGGACUACCCGCUGAACUUAAGCAUAUCAAUAAGCGGAGGAAAAGAAACUAACAAGGAUUCCCCUAGUAACUGCGAGUGAAGCGGGAAAAGCUCAAAUUUGAAAUCUGGUAGUCUUUGAUUGCCCGAGUUGUAAUCUAGAGAAGUGUUACCCGCGUUGGCCCGUGUACAAGUCUCCUGGAAUGGAGCGUCAUAGAGGGUGAGAAUCCCGUCUUUGACACGGACUGCCAAGGCUUUGUGGUGCGCUCUCAAAGAGUCGAGUUGUUUGGGAAUGCAGCUCAAAAUGGGUGGUAAAUGCCAUCUAAAGCUAAAUACAGGCGAGAGACCGAUAGCGAACAAGUACCGUGAGGGAAAGAUGAAAAGAACUUUGGAAAGAGAGUUAAACAGUACGUGAAAUUGCUGAAAGGGAAACGCUUGAAGUCAGUCGCGUUGGCUGGGAAUCAACCUUGCUUUUGCUUGGUGUACUUUCUAGUUAACGGGUCAGCAUCAGUUUUGAUCAGUGGAUAAAGGCAUGAGAAAUGUGGCUUCCUCGGAAGUGUUA